UACGUAGGGGCCAAGCGUUGUCCGGAUUUAUUGGGCGUAAAGAGCUCGUAGGCGGUUCGGCAAGUCGAAUGUGAAAUCUCCACGCUCAACGUGGAGGGUCAUUCGAUACUGCCGUGACUUGAGUACGGGUAGGGGAGUGUGGAAUUCCCGGUGUAGCGGUGAAAUGCGCAGAGAUCGGGAGGAACACCCGUAGCGAAGGCGGCACUCUGGGCCGAUACUGACGCUGAGGAGCGAAGGCUAGGGGAGC
rnacentral:rRNA from 1 species